GGCUCGGGACAGAAAUAUGGGGUUUGUGUGGCAUAAAAGACACGUAAAAACCCCUCGGGGCAGGAGGAAAUGACUCAGCACAACAGCUCUGUCCCUUCUAAUGGGAUCUGUGCUUCAAUCCUGCACUAAAUGAGUGUCCCCAUGUGCUCUCCACACUCCUCCCCCUCGUGCCUGGUCCUUAAAAGUCCCGACAUCAGCCCGUUCAUACAACUGCUCCUCACGCCUUGUGCCUCUCCCUGAACCUGCCCUGAGCUUUCUCCUGGCCCUUCUCUGGGGCUGUUUGUCCUGCUUUUCCCAAGUUCUCAACUUGCAAAGCCCCUCCAGAACUCCCUGGCUGAUCCUGCCUUUCCAGGUGGCCUCUCCUCGUCGCUGCCCUUGGAGCUACAUCCCUUCAGCAGAGAACAGAAAGCCAGGGUCUGCCCAGCUCAGAGUCCUCUUCCCUCCCCAGUCACCACUCCAGAUUACAGAGAGAGAAGCAAAAAAAUCACUGCUGGUGAGUUGUUAAUUUUUUUGCCAUAUUUUGGGGAGCUUCCAUUCAGCCCCGAUGCAGCUGUUGAAAUAGCAGGAGUUGCAUUUUUAUUUUGCCUAAUCCACUAAAAGAUGUUCCUGUUAUCCACAUCCAUGUGUGCUGGGCUCUUCUUAACCUCUGGACUCCAUCUGUGGGAUUCACAUAAAAUAUUGUUACUAUGACAGCCAUGAAAAAACAACCAGAAUAAAACUGGUGUGCUUGGGAAGUGUCCUUACGAAAGAUCCAUCAGAUUAUUGCGAUAGUUUCGUGUCCCUGGCUGUGGAGAAGGACACACAGCCUGGGCUGAAGGCUCAACUGCACUGGUGAGUACAAAGAGAGCAACUGGGAUCCCAGAAAGCCAGGCUUACAGGAAUUUAGGCCAGUUAGGGCAAUUCCAGAAGAAAUUGAGGCUGUAUAGUUUUAUUUAACACUGGAUGGAGUGGGAAGACCGGCAGAAACCUUCUGUAGUGAGUAAUUGUUUGGAUGCAGCAACAGCUCAGCAGCUCAGGUAAAUCCCUGAGUGAGCUUUGAGGAGCUCAGCUAAUCCAGGUUAGAUGUGGGAUAGAAAGGAAAACAAAGGGAAUGUGUCUUGGAUCUCAAAGAUCUGCACACUAAAUGUUUAAUGGCUGCUAAUUUCUUUUCCUCGUGAGGGACGUGCACGUGGCACAUCCUGCGGCUCCAAUUCCAGCUUUUUUAUGGUCCUGUGAGUCAUCCAGGCAGAAAGUGACUGAAUGCUUUGAUAAAUACCUAAUUCUAAUAACAGGAAUCAUAUAUGCCAAUAAUGCCCGGAAAAUGAUCCCUACUUCUGCAGCAGGACAGCGUGACAGCAUCAGCUGGGCUCUGGUUCCCUGAGCAAGUGAAAUGCCAGGGAAUUUUCUCAAACUUUACAGCACAGAAGGUCACCUGGAAGGGAAUUUAUCUAUUUAAGAGGAACAGUGGACUGGAAACAGCUUUACUGGACUUGAGCCUGUGGUUCCAGGAGGUCCAGCUGUGUCAAAUUCAAUUCUUGGAGCACUAAAUCCACCUUUAUCAUCCUAUCCCUGCUUGUCCUUGGGAUUAUCAUGACCCCAAGGUCUCUUUAUCUGUUAAAUUCCAACGUGGCUGAUGCAUUUGAACUUCCCCCUAGCAGAUCUCUCGCUGUACUACCUGGAUUUGCCUCUGCCAUCUUUCACCUGGGGAGGGCGGGUUGGAAAAUUAUAACCCUUAAAAAUAAAA